GCGCGGUUGUGGUAGUUUCAGGCAGCAGAUGAAGAAAAGGAAAGAACACAUCCUUCUGUCAGAGGGUAAUAUGAGGCUUGACCUGGAUGACUUUGGAUCUGUAUUCAUGCUACCAUGGUCCACCCAGGUUGAUGGUAUCUGGUGAUGGAACAACCUGCCUUCCUCCAGAAGAGAUGGUGAAAGGAAGAAAUUAAACCCAUUCCUGCUCGGUUAUCAGUGAUGUUGCCACUUCUGCUAUUGAGUGGACUUGUACUGAGAAGCUGCUCAGUUCCCUCAGCAUUCAGGAGCCCUUUCAUUUCCUCCAAUUAGAGCUCUGCUGAGAACUUCAUACUGUGAAAAGAGACAUGGUUAUUACCAGCUUCUCUCUCUGAAAACUAUUUUAUUUUCCCCACUUGAGCAACAGUGACCUCUGAGGCAAUUCCUAGCUUCAAGACCUCUCUGUGUUGGGGCUCUGGCAGUGAUACGCUGAAGAGUAAACUGGCUCUUUGCACAGGUCCUCCAGAGCAUUUCCUACCACAUCCAAAACAGGAGUUACUACAUGAAUGACACUCAGCAAGCAAGGCACCUGGACAGAUUCCUCUGGGACCAGCAGGAGAUCUGUUCCUAUGACAGUGAUGUGAGUUUCUAUGUGGUCCUUGUGGAUUUGAGACAGACAGUCACAAAGUACUAGAACAGAAUGGAGUGGCUCAGCUACUGGUAUGAUUCAAGGGAGAAAUGUGCAGCCUGGAAUAACAUUUGUCCCCCUCUGCCACCUCUCUGUUUCACUUGACAUCAGAAGUUGAGUGGACGGUGGGAGAUAGAUCUGAAUUCAGUGGGGCAGGAGGAGAAGGAGUGAAAUGGAUUGGAGUAGUUAACAUCUUCACUAUGAGUCUAAGACUGAAGGAAAUGACCUAUGGGAACCUUGCAGAAAAUCGUGGGACAGGACUCUGAAACCUGCCAAUUUCUAGAGCAAUGAACUCACCUCAGAGGUGGAGAAGUCACGAAAUGCUCCUACUAGGUGCAUCUUCCAUGAUGAUCUUUCACUGAGGGAGGAUUAAAAUGGGAUUAAAGAUGAUAAUGGCUGUAAUGUGAGAUCAUUUUGAGGGCAGCUGGUCAGGACUAAAGGGCAUGCUGAGAAAUGGUUUUGGAGGAGGAAUCCAUAUGAUGUCCAUAGAUCCUGUUGCUAAGAACUGUUCUCAGGGAGGAUGAUACAGGAGGAGAGGUGCAGCCUGUCUGUCAGGGUUCUCAGUCUCUCUUUUUUUCAUCUAAAAUCAAAGUGAAAAUUUCUGCCCUGCAAAUAAAGCAUGGAUUUAUACCAAGAAGGUGGUCUGUUCUGCAACAGGCUUUUAUCCUUUUGAAAUCAAGAUCCAGUGCUUCAAAUAUGGCCAUGACAAGAUGAACAAAGCUGCCCAUCACGAUGGCCUGGAGAAAGAGAUUGAAAACUGAGGGAUCAGAAAAUCUUGGGAAAGGUCACUCCCAGAAGUACGGGAACAGCAGGAAACUGGAAAAGAUUUUAGGAAGAAACAAUGUCUAGCCUGAACCUUAACUCUCUGAACUGCUCUUCUAAUAGAAGUGAAUUCUGGAUCUGCUGUGGGGAAGAUGGAAACUGGAAUGCUGGACUUUGUGCUGGAGUUAGGCUUCAUUGUGGGACUCAUCAUCUAUCAAAAGAAGAAGAAAGGUGAAUUAUUCAUGAGCUAAGUGGAAACCUAUUCUUAAUGGGACUGCAGAGAGAUGUUUUAAAGCCUGUAAGACUUCACUAGAAGUUAGAUUUACCAUGAUAAUUUCCUUGGGUUCCCAGCAUUCAAGUGGGUUUUAUGGGGUCUAAUCCAAUAUCUGCAGAAGCCACUGAUAGCUUUUAAUUUAUUUUAACUGAAGUUAGAUUGGGCUUUCAGUGAUGAGAAGCCAUUUUAGACCUAGCAUCAGCUGCUGAAAGGUCAGCCCUGUCCUCUGAGAUGCAGUCCUCAGCUAUGGUUAUGGUUUCUUAUGAGAAUCAAAUUAGCUGCUUAAUUCCCAAAUGUUUCCACAUUGCUUCAUUGCAGACAUAUUUUGUAGACUCCAGAAGCAAAUACAUUUAUACUUAUUUAUAAAAAGAUUAAAUACCUCUCUUUCAAAGCUACAGGGGAAAAAAAAAAGGAACGUUAUCUUCCAUAAAGCUGCGCUCUUGUUCCCAAAAUGUCAGUUUGCUGUGUAACAAUGUCUUCUCACAGGCUUUGUUUUCUCCUUUCUAAUUGUUUAGAAUUGUUAGAAUCACACACAAGUACUGGGUGAAUCCUUGCUGUGUGAUAUCUUUCAUGGUGCAAUGGGAAAUAUGCCUCAACUUAAUCCUGUACUGUUAUUUUUUCCUAAGCAAGUCACAUCCAAGAUAGCCCUUUGUCCCAUUAAUUCUCAGUGUAAGGGUUGAGGUCACCAGCAAGAGGAGGACCUGAAUUCUGUGCCCAUCAUCACAGUUGCUAAUAAGCAGGAACAGGGAAGCUUGAUGCCGAAGAUGCUGAAACUCCCUUUCUUAGACCCAAACAUCUGUUUCCCAAUGAACUACACAGCGAGCACAGCCUACAGAUUUGACUCCAUGGAAAUGGAGUUUCACAGCCUGCCCAGAGCCUGUGUUUUUCAGGGCCUCACAGUACCCCCAUGAUAAAUACUUCAUGUGGUUCUCCAAGGUUGUCUGAGAAACUGGAUUCUUGUGUUGCAACUAAAACCCCUCUGUCAGUGCUGCUGUGGUGAUCUCUGAAGCCCCAUGAGUCUCUGUAGCUCUAUGGGUGGGUGAGCAAGGGACCACCAUGCUCUUGAAGAUGAUGGAAGAUGAAGGAAGAAAGCUAAAGCUUCCCAGCCCUGCACACACCUGGAGAGAGAAGAGCGGAACAAAUAGCAACAUUUCUGAGGGAUGUUUUGUACUUUGAGCAAUUUAUCUGAGGGUCUGAAAGGAUUUAAUAACUGAGAG
ensembl:lncRNA